rnacentral:rRNA from 1 species
UACGUAGGUCGCAAGCGUUGUCCGGAUUUACUGGGCGUAAAAGAGCGCGCAGGCGGCUGGUCAAGUCCGAUGUGAAAUCUCCCGGGCUCAACUGGGAAACUGCAUCGGAAACUGAUCGGCUUGAAGAUGGGAGAGGGUAGUGGAAUUCCCGGUGUAGUGGUGGAAAUGCGUAGAUAUCGGGAGGAACACCAGUGGCGAAGGCGACUACCUGGCCCUUCUUGACGCUGAGGCGCGAAAG